GGGCGGUUAGCUCAGUUGGUAGAGCACAGGAUUGACGUUCUUGGGGUCAGAGGUUCGAGCCCUCUACCGCCCA
rnacentral:tRNA from 1 species